ACGCUGGCGGCAGGCUUAACACAUGCAAGUCGAACGGUAACAGGGAUUAGCUUGCUAAUUUGCUGACGAGUGGCGGACGGGUGAGUAAUGCUUGGGAAUCUGGCUUAUGGAGGGGGAUAACUACGGGAAACUGUAGCUAAUACCGCGUAAAAUCUUCGGAUUAAAGGGUGGGACUUUCGAGCCACCUGCCAUAAGAUGAGCCCAAGUGGGAUUAGGUAGUUGGUUAGGUAAAGGCUGACCAAGCCGACGAUCUCUAGCUGGUCUGAGAGGAUGACCAGCCACACUGGAACUGAGACACGGUCCAGACUCCUACGGGAGGCAGCAGUGGGGAAUAUUGCACAAUGGGCGGAACCCUGAUGCAGCCAUGCCGCGUGAAUGAAGAAGGCCUUUGGGUUGUAAAGUUCUUUCGGUGACGAGGAAGGUUGAUAGGUUAAUAGCCUAUCAAAUUGACGUUAAUCACAGAAGAAGCACCGGCUAACUCCGUGCCAGCAGCCGCGGUAAUACGGGGGGUGCGAGCGUUAAUCGGAAUAACUGGGCGUAAAGGGCACGCAGGCGGUGACUUAAGUGAGAUGUGAAAGCCCCGGGCUUAACCUGGGAAUUGCAUUUCAUACUGGGUCGCUAGAGUACUUUAGGGAGGGGUAGAAUUCCACGUGUAGCGGUGAAAUGCGUAGAGAUGUGGAGGAAUACCGAAGGCGAAGGCAGCCCCUUGGGAAUGUACUGACGCUCAUGUGCGAAAGCGUGGGGAGCAAACAGGAUUAGAUACCCUGGUAGUCCACGCUGUAAACGAUGUCGAUUUGGGGAUUGGGCUUUGAGCUUGGUGCCCGUAGCUAACGUGAUAAAUCGACCGCCUGGGGAGUACGGCCGCAAGGUUAAAACUCAAAUGAAUUGACGGGGGCCCGCACAAGCGGUG
rnacentral:rRNA from 1 species